rnacentral:rRNA from 1 species
UACGUAGGGUGCGAGCGUUAAUCGGAAUUACUGGGCGUAAAGGGUGCGCAGGCGGCCGUGUGCGUCAGAGGUGAAAUCUCCGGGCUUAACCCGGAGGGUGCCUUUGAUACGGCAUGGCUUGAGUCCGAGAGAGGGUGAUGGAAUUCCUGGUGUAGCAGUGAAAUGCGUAGAUAUCAGGAGGAACACCGGUGGCGAAGGCGGUCACCUGGCUCGGCACUGACGCUUAGGCACGAAAGCGUGGGGAUCAAAC